ACAGCUCAUGGCAACGCUGGAUCCUUAACCCACUGAGCGAGCAUCGUUGCCACUUGACUGCACCAUGCACGUCUUUGUUGUCUGUCUCAUCACCUGGAUGGCAUACUCCACAGAUGGCAGACCUGUGUGCAGUUUUGUUUUCUGCUGUCUCUCCUGUGCCUACAUCAGUGUUGGACACAUAGCAGGUCAUCAAUAACCAGGAGCACGCAGGAGGAGGACCUUCUUUGCUUCUCUGCCCCUGUUCUCCUUUAAAAAGAAUCACAAAAUUAACAUAAGAUACAGGCGACUAGGUGAUCUAAUCCAUCCUUUCAUAGAUCAAAGGAUAACUGGUUUAUCACAAGAGGGAGAG